rnacentral:rRNA from 1 species
UACGUAGGGUGCAAGCGUUGUCCGGAAUUAUUGGGCGUAAAGAGCUCGUAGGCGGUCUGUCGCGUCUGCUGUGAAAACUCGGGGCUUAACCCCGGGCCUGCAGUGGGUACGGGCAGACUAGAGUGUGGUAGGGGGAGACUGGAAUUCCUGGUGUAGCGGUGAAAUGCGCAGAUAUCAGGAGGAACACCGGUGGCGAAGGCGGGUCUCUGGGCCGAUACUGACGCUGAGGAGCGAAAGCGUGGGGAGCGAACAGG